rnacentral:rRNA from 1 species
UGCAGUCGAGCGGAACGAUCCUAGCUUGCUAGGAGGCGUCGAGCGGCGGACGGGUGAGUAAUGCAUAGGAAUCUGCCCGGUAGUGGGGGAUAACUUGAGGAAACUCAAGCUAAUACCGCAUACGCCCUACGGGGGAAAGCAGGGGCUCUUCGGACCUUGCGCUAUCGGAUGAGCUUAUGUCGGAUUAGCUGGUUGGUGAGGUAACGGCUCACCAAGGCGACGAUCCGUAGCUGGUCUGAGAGGAUGAUCAGCCACAUCGGGACUGAGACACGGCCCGAACUCCUACGGGAGGCAGCAGUGGGGAAUAUUGGACAAUGGGGGCAACCCUGAUCCAGCCAUGCCGCGUGUGUGAAGAAGGCCCUCGGGUUGUAAAGCACUUUCAGCGAGGAAGAAUGCUUGUCGGUUAAUACCCGGCAAGGGAGACAUCACUCGCAGAAGAAGCACCGGCUAACUCCGUGCCAGCAGCCGCGGUAAUACGGAGGGUGCGAGCGUUAAUCGGAAUUACUGGGCGUAAAGCGUGCGUAGGCGGCUUGAUAAGCCGGUUGUGAAAGCCCCGGGCUCAACCUGGGAACGGCAUCCGGAACUGUUAGGCUAGAGUGCAGGAGAGGAAGGUAGAAUUCCCGGUGUAGCGGUGAAAUGCGUAGAGAUCGGGAGGAAUACCAGUGGCGAAGGCGGCCUUCUGGACUGACACUGACGCUGAGGUACGAAAGCGUGGGUAGCAAACAGGAUUAGAUACCCUGGUAGUCCACGCCGUAAACGAUGUCGACUAGCCGUUGGGGUCCUCGAGACCUUUGUGGCGCAGUUAACGCACUAAGUCGACCGCCUGGGGAGUACGGCCGCAAGGUUAAAACUCAAAUGAAUUGACGGGGGCCCGCACAAGCGGUGGAGCAUGUGGUUUAAUUCGAUGCAACGCGAGAACCUUACCUACCCU